rnacentral:misc_RNA from 1 species
CAGCAAGCUCGCGAGAGUAAGCGAAUCUCAUCAAACCCAGCCACAGUUCAGAUUGCAGGCUGCAACUCGCCUGCACGAAGUAGGAAUCGCUAGUAAUCGCAGGUCAGCAUACUGCGGUGAAUUCGUUCCCGGGCCUUGUACACACCGCCCGUCACACCAUGGAAGCUGGCUACGCCCGAAGUCGUUACCCUAACCCGGUUUUGGGAGGGGGAUGCCGAAGGUAGAGCUAGUGACUGGGGUGAAGUCGUAACAAGGUAGCCGUACCGGAAGGUGUGGCUGGAUCACCUCCUUUACAGGGAGACCUAGUCUAAUUACCAAUAGAUGAAAAAGUUGGUAAUUCGCCAGAAUCCUUAGGUCGUGAAGGGAGCAAGAAAAAACUUUCAAACUGUAAUGGGUGAGGGUCAAUGGGCUAUUAGCUCAGGUGGUUAGAGCGCACCCCUGAUAAGGGUGAGGUCCCUGGUUCAAGUCCAGGAUGGCCCACCUGAAAUACACAGGCAUCCUGCCUGUGCCACAAAAAAAGGAAAAAAUUUUAGCAUUGUCUCUUGUAAGCAAGAGCAAGAGAUAAUGCUGGAAUCUAUUCCAGCAAGAACCUUGAAAACUGCAUAGAACUAGAAAGAAAAAGUCAGGUAGAAAAUCCUACAAGCUAGAGCUAGAAAGAGCAAAAGGU